CACGUAGGGGCCAAGCGUUGUCCGGAUUUAUUGGGCGUAAAGAGCUCGUAGGCGGUUCGACAAGUCGGGUGUGAAAACUCCGGGCUCAACCCGGAGACGCCACCCGAUACUGUCGUGACUGGAGUCCGGUAGGGGAGUGGGGAAUUCCUGGUGUAGCGGUGAAAUGCGCAGAUAUCAGGAGGAACACCGGUGGCGAAGGCGCCACUCUGGGCCGGUACUGACGCUGAGGCGCGAAAGCGUGGGGAGCGAACAGG
rnacentral:rRNA from 1 species